UACAGCCAUAACACUUUGAAACACCGGUUUCCCUACGAUCGCUGAAGUUAAGCAACGUAGAGGUUGGUCAGUUCCUUGAUUUGUGAACUUUUGGGAAUACCAGGUGCUGUAU